rnacentral:rRNA from 1 species
GGGGAAUUUUGGACAAUGGGCGCAAGCCUGAUCCAGCCAUGCCGCGUGUCUGAAGAAGGCCUUCGGGUUGUAAAGGACUUUUGUCAGGGAAGAAAAGGCUGUUGCUAAUACCGACAGCUGAUGACGGUACCUGAAGAAUAAGCACCGGCUAACUACGUGCCAGCAGCCGCGGUAAUACGUAGGGUGCGAGCGUUAAUCGGAAUUACUGGGCGUAAAGCGAGCGCAGACGGUUACUUAAGCAGGAUGUGAAAUCCCCGGGCUCAACCUGGGAACUGCGUUCUGAACUGGGUGACUAGAGUGUGUCAGAGGGAGGUAGAAUUCCACGUGUAGCAGUGAAAUGCGUAGAGAUGUGGAGGAAUACCGAUGGCGAAGGCAGCCUCCUGGGAUAACACUGACGUUCAUGCUCGAAAGCGUGGGUAGCAAACAGGAUUAGAUACCCUGGUAGUCCACGCCCUAAACGAUGUCAAUUAGCUGUUGGGCAACUUGAUUGCUUAGUAGCGUAGCUAACGCGUGAAAUUGACCGCCUGGGGAGUACGGUCGCAAGAUUA